rnacentral:misc_RNA from 1 species
GAUUCGCUCGCUGUAAAUUUCGCAAUUCUCUUUGUCAGCACUUUCACUAAGCUCGUUCUCUUUCUCUCUCUCUCUCUUCCUCUAGAAAAUCGCUUGAAAUCCAGUUCGCAGCAUUCUUAUCUCGCUUUCCCACAACUUUUCCUUCACUGUCUCCUGAAAAUCUAGCGAAGGGCCUUAGAAACAGCAUAGGCAUGUAUAAGAACCAACUGCAAGAGUUGGCUCAAAGAAGCUGCUUCAAUUUGCCGUCUUAUUCAUGUAUAAGGGAAGGACCAGAUCAUGCCCCUCGAUUCAAAGCUACUGUCAAUUUCAAUGGAGAGACUUUUGAAAGUCCUGCCUUUUGCUCUACUCUGAGGCAGGCAGAACAUGCGGCUGCUGAGGUAGCACUCACCACACUUGCAAGCAGAAGAGGACCUUCCAGAGCAUUAGCUGCUAGAAUUCUGGAUGAAACUGGAGUCUACAAGAAUUUGCUUCAAGAGACUGCUCACAGAGCUGGCUUAAAGCUUCCAGUAUAUACCACUGUUCGUUCUGGGCCUGGCCAUGUUCCUGUUUUCUCAUGCACAGUUGAACUUGCUGGAAUGAACUUUUCUGGGCAGCCAGCUAGGACCAAGAAACAAGCUCAGAAGAAUGCAGCAAUGACCACCUGGUUUGACCUAAAAAGACUGGUUGAACAUGGCUCAUACUCCAGUUCAUCAUCUUCUUCUGUGGAGAACAAAAAAGGCGGCGAAGAGCAAGAACAGGUUGUAAUUGCUCGAUUUCUUGCAUCUCUACAACCAUCAGAAUUAAAGAACUUGAAGCAAAGGGAUUUCCAGUGGGGACAGGAGGGAUUUAUUCCUGUCUGCAAGGACUUGACCCCACCAACACUAAACUUAUAUCCUAUGCAGUGCCAAAACUGGGCAUAUCCUGGUUUUUCCCCUGAAAUGGCCAUAUACCAAAUGUGGCAGCAAGAACAACUGCUGCAGUUGCAGAACCGUUUAUUGAUGCUUCAAGCUCCACCAGCUCCUCCUCCUGGUCCUCAAAUUCUUCCAUAUGUGCAGUCUAUACUCCCCUCCGACUCUCGUCUAUUUGUUCCUGUGAGAGAGCAAAAGCCAGUACCCUUAGGGCCAAGAAUUACAAUUGCCACCUCAGGACCAUUAUUGUCCUACUCAGAUAAUGUUGCCUCUGAUCCAGUCAGGGGUAAGUCCACAGUUACCAUUCAGGAGAUACACGAGGAGAAGACAGAAGAAUUAUCCGAGUGCUCUCCAUCACUGGUUCCAGAUCCCCCUGUACUCAGCACCUUAAAGACUGAAGCGAGAUUUAAGGAACCAAAUCAUGAGGAAAAUAAACAUAAAAAUGGUGCACUAGAAAGCAAAGUUGAAAAUGUUCAACUAGGAGAGAGACAAACCGAGCAAUUUGAUCUGGCUUCCCAUAGGCACAUCGAUACAAGAUACGCACAUAUAGGCUUUAAAGUGCAAAAACCCUGUGGUUUUGUCUCCUCCCAUUCUACUUCACAGUAUCCUCGAAGACCGAGUUUGACAAAUUAUAGACCACCUCCAUCUGUAGCACGUCAUGUAACAAUAAAAACUAUGGAGCAUAGACCUUCAUCUGCAGCACCUCCUGUACAGAUCAGAAAUAUGGGACCUGUUUGUUCUGUUUCCAAAUCACAAGAAUUGACAGCACAUAUUCCAGCUCCCCCAAGAAUGAGAACUGGAGGUCCUUUGUAUUCAGCCAGUACCCAUUCUCCAAGAAUGGACUUCGGAAGAGUGCACCCGCGUUUCAUGGCACCAGCAGUUCGAAUAAGAUCAGUUGUACCAGUCUGUUCAGCUCCACCAGCAAGGAAAAUGUCAACUGCUGGGCAAGAUGGAGCAUCACCCAACAGAGAGAAGAAAGAUACAGUACCUGAAGAUGCCUUGGCAGCAAGUUCGGAGCUUGGCAAGCUUAGAAUAUGAACGGAGUAUAAAGACUAGAGUUCAUCUUAUCUUUUUCUUUUACAUUUAGUUAGUUUUUGCAACUAAAUUUAUAGUGGUGUUUGGGCAUCCAAUGUUUUGUAAUCAGUAAAGGGGGAGCUGUUAUAGAUAUUUAUAUAUAAAUAUAUAAUUUAAAGC